ensembl:lncRNA
AGUGUGUACACGUCCAUUCUAAACUCCCUAACUGUCCCUUCUCUCCAUCAUUCCUCUGGCAACCGAAAGUUUGUUCUAAGUCUGUUUCUGUUGUGUAAGCUCCAUCAGCUUCUCUUUGCAGAAAGCACACUUUCUUCAUGUCAAAAUCUCCAUUUGGCUGUGCUGGGGGUCACCUCUAUCCUGUGGGCUCCAACCAGUCCAGACGCCUCUUGCCUCAUGGAGAGUUCUCCUUCGCUAGCCAUGGACCUUGGCUGGGACCAUUCCAUGUCUUUCGAAGCUCUAAAUGGACAGAGGCAGGUGUUUAUUUCUUAUUUUCCCAGGAGUCUUCUUGACACUAGACAAAGAAGUCCGUGGCCCAGAAACCAUCUCUGCAUACAUAAAAAGGGCUUGAGGGACUGAACCGUCCAAGCCACAGGCGUCCUGCCUGCUCCUCUACCCGCAGGGGCCUCAGCCCCUUAUACUUACAUAUGAAAAAGAGGCCCCUUCAGUGCUCAGAGCCAAAAGAAUACCAAAGUUACAAGGUGAUUUCUGUUUUCAGCCAGAGAAACUUCUAAUAGCUGAGAACAAAACAAAAACAAACCAAAACC